rnacentral:misc_RNA from 1 species
UACAUAAGCAUGUGUGCAUGCGAUUGUGUUGGAUAUAGAAACAAAAUCUGUAUUUGUAUGCUAUUGUUAAAUUGUUAAUUCUUAACUGCUCAACUCUCAGAGGUCACUUGAUACUAACUAUUAACCACUCGUACUUCACUGCACAUGCAUACAAAACACGGAAAGCUUGGCGUAUAGCAACUUCAAUAAAGUUAGAACUACCGCAGAGCUCGACUCGGUAUUAUAACAAUCAUACAUUUUUACAUUUCAUAUAUUUGAAAUAUUUCUCAAGCGAUUGAAAUAAGCCUUAAAAAAGUUUUAGUUUCAGUGUGAUUCUUUGGCUCAGAACUUUCUCAAAAAAAAUAAAGCAAACCAGAAACUAGUUUUAGCACCUGUGUAUACAGAUGUAUGUGAAAUAUCUGCAUUGGAGCUAAUUUUGUGUUAGAAAUUUAAUAAUACGCUGAACUGAUGUGAGAAAAAAUAUUAUCGGCUUGUUCAUUCAAAACUUUUGUAUACGUUUCUAAAAGCUUACGUGCAUACAUACAUACAUAUGUAUGUAUUUAUGUACAUACAUAUGCGUUAGUACUUGAACAAAACAAUAAUGUAUAAACACGAAGGCAAACAUUUGGAAUUUUAAGCACGAAAUGUUUACUUAAAAUUACAUCCCUGGUCCUUGUUCUUUCUGUAU